CUUGGACACCAGGCACAAGAGCCAACAGAAGUUGAUUUACCAAAAAAAUGAGUUUCCAGAAAAAUUAAGCGUGUCAAGUUGAGACAUGGAAAGUUUAGAGGGCGGGAGACUGGAAGAGCAGGUAAACGCAGAACAAAGGGGAUGAAUAACAAUCAGUGACCACAGGAAGAAAAGCAAGGAGCCGCGGAAGCAUCUACAGGCAGACAAGUCACCAUGCAGAGCAGAGAACAGAAAUCACUCCAGCUACUUCACUCAGAAAGGCAGCACUUGAUGGGAAUUUGGUGUUUACAGAAUCACUACAAGGUCUGGGGGAACAAAAGUCCCCUCUAGACUUUCGAAUUCAAAGAAACACCACUGCAAGGUGUAAUCCCCAUAAAAUUCCCACCACCAAGUCUACU